rnacentral:rRNA from 1 species
UCUGGUUGAUCCUGCCAGUAGUGAUAUGCUUGUUUCAAAGAUUAAGCCAUGCAUGUCUAAGUAUAAGCGAACUUAUACAGUGAAACUGCGGAUGGCUCAUUAAAACAGUUUGAAUUUAUUUGAUGAAUGUAUGAGAAUACUACUUGGAUAACCGUAGUAAUUCUAGAGCUAAUACAUGCAACGACGCCCGACCGUUUCACUACGGAAGGGCUGUAUUUAUUGGAUACCAAAACCAUCCUUCCCUCGGGAAGUUUUGUUUGAUGAUUCACAAUAACUGAUCGGGUCGCCACUGUGGUGGCGACAGGUCAUUCAACAUUCUGCCCUAUCAGCUUUCGAUGGUUGUGUAGUGGACAACCAUGGCCAUAACGGGUAACGGAGAAUCAGGGUUCGAUUCCGGAGAAGGAGCUUGAGAAUUGGCUACUACAUCUAAGGAAGGCAGCAGGCGCGCAAAUUACCCAAUCCCGAUUCGGGGAGGUAGUGACAAAAAAUAACAAUACCGGGCCUUUUUGGGCUUGGUAAUUGGAAUGAGGGAGAGUUAAACGGACCAUCGAGUAUCCAUUGGAGGGCAAGUCUGGUGCCAGCAGCUGCGGUAAUACCAGCUCCAAUAGCGUAUAUUAAAGUUGUUGCAGUUAAAAAGCUCGUAGUUGGACUUGUGUGCGCUGUCCGCGGGUGGCCUGCGCCCAAAAGGGCGUUUCGGUUCGGCCCCGGUGGCGCCUUGAAAUCUGCAGCUGGGGGGACGUUGGCCUUAACUGGUCGGUGACCGCACGCCGGCUGCUCGGUUACUGUGAGAAAAUUAGAGUGUUCAAGGCAGGCAUUGGGUGCAAUUGAAUACAUUAGCAUGGAAUAAUAAAAUAUGGCUCCUGCCGUAUUUUGUUGGUUUUGACUGGUGGGAGUAAUGAUUGAUAGGGACGGUUGGGGGUGCUAGUAUUGAGCGGCCAGAGGUGAAAUUCAUGGAUUCGCUCAAGACUAACUUAUGCGAAAGCAUUCACCAAGGACGUCCUCUUUAAUCAAGAACGAAAGUUGGGGGAUCGAAGACGAUCAGAUACCGUCGUAGUCUCAACCAUAAACUAUGUCGACUUGGGAUCGGCGGUAGUUUUUUCAUUAAGACACUGUCGGGACCACGGGAGAAAUCAAAGUGUCUGGACUCUGGGGGAAGUAUGGUCGCAAGGCUGAAACUUGAAGGAAUUGACGGAAGGGCACCACCAGGAGUGGAGCCUGCGGCUUAAUUUGACCCAACACGGGGAAACUUACCAGGUCCAGAGAUGUAGAGGAUUGACAGAUUGAAGCUCUUUCUUGAUCACUUAGGUGGUGGUGCAUGGCCGUUCUUAGUUGGUGGAGUGAUUUGUCUGGUUAA